AGUGAACGCGGGCGGUAGGCCUAACACAUGCAAGUCGAACGGCAGCACAGGAGAGCUUGCUCUCUGGGUGGCGAGUGGCGGACGGGUGAGGAAUACAUCGGAAUCUGCCCAGUCGUGGGGGAUAACGUAGGGAAACUUACGCUAAUACCGCAUACGACCUUCGGGUGAAAGAGGGGGAUCGCAAGACCUCUCGCGAUUGGAUGAGCCGAUGUCGGAUUAGCUAGUUGGCGGGGUAAUGGCCCACCAAGGCGACGAUCCGUAGCUGGUCUGAGAGGAUGAUCAGCCACACUGGAACUGAGACACGGUCCAGACUCCUACGGGAGGCAGCAGUGGGGAAUAUUGGACAAUGGGCGCAAGCCUGAUCCAGCCAUACCGCGUGGGUGAAGAAGGCCUUCGGGUUGUAAAGCCCUUUUGUUGGGAAAGAAAUCUUUCAGGCUAAUACCCUGGGAGGAUGACGGUACCCAAAGAAUAAGCACCGGCUAACUUCGUG
rnacentral:rRNA from 1 species